GGCUAAAAAAAUCCGACACAAGAAAGCGAAACUUCUUCUUCGGAAGGCCGUUUUGUCGCGUCGGUUCAGGUCGGGAUUCGUCUUGCAGGCCGGGUUGGGUCUCGGCCGUCCCUGCGUCCGGAGGAGCUCCACACAACCACCCCCGAGCCUAUCUUCCGCCGGCCAGAUGAAGGGCCCCUCCUGCGCUUUCGUGGCCUCCGUGUUGGCCGCCUCCACUGCCGCCUUCUCCUCGUCGUCGUCGUCGUCGUCGUCCUCCUCCUCCUCCGUGGAUCGAAACGCUCCGUUUCACGCUUCCUGGAAUUCCAUCGAUCAGCAAGAUCCAUCGGACAAGGGCAAGUUCGCGCCGAGAUUCGACGGGUUGAGAUUCAUCGAGACGCUGGUGACUGCCCACAGAUGACAACCAUCCAUCGGAUUCAGCAGAUGGCAGUGUGUUAGGAAGAUUGUGACAUCAUAGAACGUCUGAUUAAGAGGAACUGUCUCCAUUUUUAAGUGAACAGUUGUUUCAGCUCAUUUGGCUAUGAUAAUAUUUGCUGGUGUCGUAAGUGUAAUUUGAAGAACGAUUAUGCGAGAUGUUUCAGCUCAUUCGCUAUGUUGUUACCGACAACACAUGAAAUUUUUUUAUUGUCGAGUUUUAUUCA